rnacentral:tRNA from 1 species
UAAAAAGUGGUGUAGUGGAAGCACAAGGGGUUUUGAUCUCCUUAGGGUAGGUUCAAGUCCUGUCUUUUUAU